rnacentral:lncRNA from 10 species
AGAAGGUGUCUACCAGUACUAGAAGGUAUUUGUACUUAGCCUGGUGUGGUUUGACUUCUCUAAAGUCAAUUUCUUACUUUUUUCUUGCCUGCAAACAGUAAGAAGAUUCCCCUCUCUUUCUCAGUGGAUGUAAAGCAGUGAUUCUGCAUAAAUGUAUCAACACUAUAGCUCAACUCCUUCUGGAGUGGACUUCCCCUAGACCUGGAGAGCGAGUCCUGCCUAGCAUACACGGCCUGAAGUUCGAGAUCUCUUCCAAUUCAGGUCAACAAGAAAACUCAAUUCCUCUUCAGGAAGUUAAGUGACUUAAAGAUUACAUAAGAGCUAAGAAGACAAGCCAGCUAAGCAUGUUCAAGACCGGGCUUUUUGAAACUGCACUAAUUGAUCAUAACGGUAGACGGGGUUUCACCAUGUUGCCCAGGCUGGUCUAGAAGUCCUGGGCUGAAGCGAUCCGACCGCCUCCCAAAGUGCUGGGAUUACAGGAGUGAGCCAUCUCGCCCAGCCGAAAAAGUGUUUUUUGAUCUUAAAAUCUUACGUGGAAUGAAAGUGAACAAUGAGGCAAUGAAAGUGGAAGUUUCUCUUAAGCAAACACAGAAGUCAACCAUUCCAGCUUUCUAAGGCGUAGAGGCCCCCGGUUUAUCUUGGAACCUCAAGAGGAGAGAAAAUUCACCCAACUCACAGGAAUGUGGAAUCCAGACCAAAGGAAAGCCAGCCAGUCUAUUUUCAUGGCUGUUAGGUACAAUUUGUAUGCUUGGGAGCUGUGGAGUUGCUGUAUUCUGUCAUAAGGGCAGAUCAGCAGAGAAAGCUAAAGCAAGAGGAGAAUAGUAACAUGGACACAAGGCAGAAAUGCAGAGAUCAAAGAUGGAAAGAGAAUAUAUCCCAGAUUCCUAAUGGCUUUCCAAAACUGAUCCCCUUCUUUCUUGUUCCCCAAAUACUGCCCUCUUCAUAUGGCCCUUAAAUUCUUGUAAUAAAUUCUCCCUUCUUUGUUUAGGCCAUUUCAAAUUGGUUUCUGUUUCUUGCAACCAGACACCUUAAAAAAAAUAAACUCAAAUUUUCUUUCAUGCUCCCUUUUUGCAUGGUAAUUAAGAGCAUAGAAUGUGGAGUAAAAGAGAUAAAACUUUAAAUUUCAGCUCCUUCAUUCACUAGUUGAAAACCUAGUAGAAAAACUUAAUCACUUAAACUCUCUGAGCUUUAAUUUCCAUAUCUGGAAAAGGGGAAUACUUUUAGCUAUCUAAAAGCAUAUGGGUGUCAAACAAAUAUAACGACGUAUAUAAAAUGCUAAUUAUAGUACCUGGCACAAAAGAAAUACUUAAUUAGUGGUAAUAAUGAUUACAUAUUUAUUCAAUAAAUACUUAUCGAUUACUAACUAUACAAAAGUUAGAUGACCUGAAGUGUACAAAUAUAUUCAAGAUUUAAUCUCUGCUCUCAGACAUGUACAUAAAUAUCCAUAAUAGAAGACAUUAUAGAAUAAUAAAGGGUACAUGAAUGUUUUUAAAAAACAAGGACUCUAGGUCAUAAUCAAAGAAAUGCAAAUUAAAACCACAGUGCAAUGCCAUCAGAAUCAGAAAAAUAAAAUAGAUUAAAGGCCGGGCAUGGUGGCUCACGCCUGUAAUCCCAGCACUUUGGGAGGCCAAGGCGGACGGAUCACGAGGUCAGGAGAUCGAGACCAUCCUGGCUAACAUGGUGAAACCCCGUCUCUACUAAAAGUACAAAAAAUUAGCUGGGUGUGGUGGUGGGCACCUGUAGUCCCAGCUACUCGGGAGGCUGAGGCAGGAGAAUGGCAUGAGCCCGGGAGGCGGAGCUUGCAGUGAGCCGAGAUCACGCCACUGCACUCCAGCCUGGGUGACAGAGUAAGACUCCGUAUUAAAAAAAAAAAAAAAAAUAGAUUAAAGAUUUUUCUAAUUUUUAAAUUCUUUUUCUUUUUAAACAUUUUUAAUGUAGAAACAGGGUCUCACUAUGUUGCCCAGGAUGGUCUCGAACUCGUGGCCUCAAGCAAUUCUCCCACCGCAGCCUCCCAAAGUGCUAGAAUUAUAGGUGUAAGCCACCACAUCCAGCCAGUUUAGAGAUUUCAAGUAAUAGUGAGGAUGUUGAACAACUGGAAUUCUUGUACAUUAAUGGUGGGUAUGUAAAUUGAUAUAAUCACUUGGGAAAACUGUGUGGCAGUAUCUACAUAUGCAUACCCUAUGACCCAACAACUCUACUCUUACCUCUAUACACAACAAAAGUGCAUACAUACUUUCACCAAAAGAAAUACAUCAGAAUGUUAAAUGUAGCAAAAAGCCAAUCGACAGAUGCAUAACUAGAUUGUGAUAGUAUGCACACAAUGGAAUACUGUACCACCACAAGAAUGAAGCAUUCACAAAUAACUAUAACAAUAUGAAUUUCAUUAACAUAAUGUUAGGAGAAAGAAGCUAACAUAAUGUUAGGAGAAAGAUCCAAGAGAGUACACAUGUUAUAAUUCCACUUUUAUAAAGUUCAAAAUUAAUCUAUACCCUAAAGUGUGAGUUGUAGUUACCCUUAGGUGGGAGUAGUGACUGGAGAAAGGGUUUCUGGGGUGCUAGUAGUGUUCUGAUUCUUGAUUAUUCCAGUGUGUUCAGUUUGUGAAACUUCUUCAACCUGUAUGCUUACAUUUAGGUAAGUAUGUAAGGAAGUACAUGUAAAUUAUACUUAAAGUUUUUAAAAAUUAAGCUUAGCCAAGUAUAGAUAAAAGUCACUUCUACCUGGAAUGACAGUACAACUGGAUGAAGGAAAUCACAUUUCUUUUCUUUUUUUUACUUUUUUUUUUUUUUUCUUUGAGACAGGGAUCUGGCUCUGUUGCCCAGGCUGGAGUGCAGUGGUAUAUUCAUAGCUCACUGGAACAUCGAACUCCUGGGCUCCAGUGAUCCUCCCCAAAGCACAGGGAUUAAAGGCAGGACCCACCUCACCCUCAGAUCUCACCCACUCUUUAGAAAUGCAAUUAUAGCCUUUACCACCUCUUCAGCAGAUAUUCCUCACAGGGCAAAUUCAUCUAACUGUGUGCUUAGAAGCUCCAGAAUGGAACUCUUACCCACCAGGAGGUUGCCCCGAGAGAUAACAGUCAAUUUACAAUCCAAAGUAUGCCCGCUAGAGUUUUUGGCCACCAUUACAACUCAUUUCUGCCCAUGAAGACACCAGCUUGACAGCCUGAUAGAUAAGGCACCAAGCUAGCACAAAACCCCUCACCUGCUUGUGUCCUCCUUUGCCUUUUAAAAGUGCCCACUUUCUGCUCCAAAGGUGAAGCAGUAUACUUAAGGACGGAAGCCUGUACUUCUUCCCCUAAGCUAGUUUUGGAAUAAAAAGGCACUUUCUUUAUACCAGACCUUGUUCUUAUUAAUUGGACUCUGCAAGCGGCGAAUGAUUGAACCUGCACUUCGGUUGCAUGACUACCAACCCAUCUCUUCAGCCUCAUCCCUCACCCAACCCCACCCAGCUGCAAGCCAGUCAUCCAAUCACUUGCCGUUCCUUGAACAAACCAAGCCCUGCUGGCUUUGCACAAGGGCUCAUCCCUGCAGAAGACCCUUCCUCUGCUCCUUCAUUACGCUUAAGCUGGAAGAGAGACAACUUCCUUCCCUCCAGCACGCCAGAGAGCUUUUCCAUAACAUGAAGCAAAGCCUGCAGGUGCAAAACUUGUCUUUAGGAUUCUUAGGACCAAAGAGUGAAUAUAUAAACCACAUAAGGAAACACAAGCUACAGUUAGCUUUUUUCCUUAAAUUGUGUGAAAACUGUGAAGGAAAACAAAUCUGCUACUAAUUUUUAACAUAUUAAUUCACAAACAAUAAAAUUGCAU